rnacentral:rRNA from 2 species
UUUGGUGGCGAUAGCGAAGAGGUCACACCCGUUCCCAUUCCGAACACGGCAGUUAAGCUCUUCAGCGCCGAUGGUAGUUGGGGGUUUCCC